rnacentral:rRNA from 1 species
CCAAGUUUUUAAGGGCGCACGGUGGAUGCCUUGGCACCAGGAACCGAUGAAGGACGUGGGAGGCCACGAUAGGCCCCGGGGAGCUGUCAACCGAGCUUUGAUCCGGGGGUGUCCGAAUGGGGAAACCCGGCAGUCGUCAUGGGCUGUCACCCGCUGCUGAACACAUAGGCAGUGUGGAGGGAACGCGGGGAAGUGAAACAUCUCAGUACCCGCAGGAAGAGAAAACAACCGUGAUUCCGGGAGUAGUGGCGAGCGAAACUGGAUGAGGCCAAACCAGUCACGUGUGAUACCCGGCAGGGGUUGCGUGGUUGGGGUUGUGGGAUCUCUCUUUUGCAGUCUGCCGGCUGUGAGGCGAGUCAGAAACCGUUGAUGUAGGCGAAGGACAUGCGAAAGGUCCGGCGUAGAGGGUAAGACCCCCGUAGCUGAAACAUUAGCGGCUCGUUUGAGAGACACCCAAGUAGCACGGGGCCCGAGAAAUCCCGUGUGAAUCUGGCGGGACCACCCGUUAAGCCUAAAUAUUCCCUGGUGACCGAUAGCGGAUAGUACCGUGAGGGAAUGGUGAAAAGUACCGCGGGAGCGGAGUGAAAUAGUACCUGAAACCGUGUGCCUACAAGCCGUGGGAGCGUCGCGCAGAGAACUUGUUCUUUGCGUCGUGACUGCGUGCCUUUUGAAGAAUGAGCCUGCGAGUUUGCGGUAUGUUGCGAGGUUAACCCGUGUGGGGAAGCCGUAGCGAAAGCGAGUCCGAAUAGGGCGUGGAGUAGCAUGCUCAAGACCCGAAGCGGAGUGAUCUAGCCAUGGGCAGGUUGAAGCGGAGGUAAGACUUCGUGGAGGACCGAACCCACCAGGGUUGAAAACCUGGGGGAUGACCUGUGGUUAGGGGUGAAAGGCCAAUCAAACUCCGUGAUAGCUGGUUCUCCCCGAAAUGCAUUUAGGUGCAGCGUCGUGUGUUUCUUGCCGGAGGUAGAGCACUGGAUAGGCGAUGGGCCCUACCGGGUUACUGACCUUAGCCAAACUCCGAAUGCCGGUAAGUGAGAGCGCGGCAGUGAGACUGUGGGGGAUAAGCUCCAUGGUCGAGAGGGAAACAGCCCAGAGCAUCGACUAAGGCCCCUAAGCGUGUGCUAAGUGGGAAAGGAUGUGGAGUCGCAGAGACAACCAGGAGGUUGGCUUAGAAGCAGCCACCCUUGAAAGAGUGCGUAAUAGCUCACUGGUCAAGUGAUUCCGCGCCGACAAUGUAGCGGGGCUCAAGUACACCGCCGAAGUCGUGUCAUUGCGAUAUUACUCCUAACGGGGAUCGUGAUGGGUAGGGGAGCGUCGUGUGCCGGGUGAAGCAGCCGUGGAAACGAGUUGUGGACGGUUCACGAGUGAGAAUGCAGGCAUGAGUAGCGAUACAAGAGUGGGAAACUCUUGCGCCGAUUGACUAAGGGUUCCUGGGUCAAGCUGAUCUGCCCAGGGUAAGUCGGGACCUAAGGCGAGGCCGACAGGCGUAGUCGAUGGACAACCGGUUGAUAUUCCGGUACCCGCUUUGAAGCGCCCAAUACUGAAUCAGGCGAUGCUAAGUCCGUGAAGCCGCCCUGAUCUCUUCGGAGUUGAGGGGAGUGGUGGAGCCGACGGACCAGACUUGUAGUAGGUAAGCGAUGGGGUGACGCAGGAAGGUAGUCCAGCCCGGGCGGUGGUUGUCCCGGGGUAAGGGUGUAGGCCGUGUGGUAGGUAAAUCCGUCGCACGUUAAGGCUGAGACCUGAUGCCGAGCCGAUUGUGGUGAAGUGGAUGAUCCUAUGCUGUCGAGAAAAGCCUCUAGUGAGUUUCAAGGCGGCCCGUACCCUAAACCGACUCAGGUGGUCAGGUAGAGAAUACCGAGGCGUUCGGGUGAACUAUGGUUAAGGAACUCGGCAAAAUGCCCCCGUAACUUCGGGAGAAGGGGGGCCAUUUCUGGUGAGGGAACUUGCUUCCUGAGCUGGGGGUGGCCGCAGAGACCAGCGAGAAGCGACUGUUUACUAAAAACACAGGUCCGUGCGAAGCCGUAAGGCGAUGUAUACGGACUGACGCCUGCCCGGUGCUGGAACGUUAAGGGGACCGGUUAGCUUGGAUUCGUUCAGGCGAAGCUGAGAACUUAAGCGCCAGUAAACGGCGGUGGUAACUAUAACCAUCCUAAGGUAGCGAAAUUCCUUGUCGGGUAAGUUCCGACCUGCACGAAUGGCGUAACGACUUCUCGACUGUCUCAACCAUAGGCCCGGUGAAAUUGCAUUACGAGUAAAGAUGCUCGUUUCGCGCAGCAGGACGGAAAGACCCCGGGACCUUUACUAUAGCUUGAUAUUGGUGUUCGGUUCGGCUUGUGUAGGAUAGGUGGGAGACUGUGAAGCGCCAACGCCAGUUGGUGUGGAGUCGUUGUUGAAAUACCACUCUGGUCGUGCUGGAUGUCUAACCUGGGUCCGUGAUCCGGAUCAGGGACAGUGUCUGGUGGGUAGUUUAACUGGGGCGGUUGCCUCCUAAAGAGUAACGGAGGCGCCCAAAGGUUCCCUCAGCCUGGUUGGUAAUCAGGUGUUGAGUGUAAGUGCACAAGGGAGCUUGACUGUGAGACUGACGGGUCGAGCAGGUACGAAAGUAGGGACUAGUGAUCCGGCGGUGGCUUGUGGAAGCGCCGUCGCUCAACGGAUAAAAGGUACCCCGGGGAUAACAGGCUGAUCUUCCCCAAGAGUCCAUAUCGACGGGAUGGUUUGGCACCUCGAUGUCGGCUCGUCGCAUCCUGGGGCUGGAGUCGGUCCCAAGGGUUGGGCUGUUCGCCCAUUAAAGCGGUACGCGAGCUGGGUUUAGAACGUCGUGAGACAGUUCGGUCCCUAUCCGCUGUGCGCGUAGGAGUCUUGAGAAGGGCUGUCCCUAGUACGAGAGGACCGGGACGGACGAACCUCUGGUGUGCCAGUUGUUCUGCCAAGGGCAUGGCUGGUUGGCUACGUUCGGAAAGGAUAACCGCUGAAAGCAUCUAAGCGGGAAGCCUGCUUCGAGAUGAGGGCUCCCUCCUCCUUGAGAGGGUAAGGCUCCCAGUAGACGACUGGGUUGAUAGGCCAGAUAUGGAAGCACUGUAAGGUGUGGAGUUGACUGGUACUAAUAGGCCGAGGGCUUGUCCUC